rnacentral:rRNA from 1 species
CCUACGGGCGGCAGCAGUGGGGAAUAUUGGACAAUGGGCGAAAGCCUGAUCCAGCCAUGCCGCGUGUGUGAAGAAGGCCUUCGGGUUGUAAAGCACUUUCAGUGGGGAAGAAAGCCUUGGGGCUAAUACCCUCGAGGAAGGACAUCACCCACAGAAGAAGCACCGGCUAACUCCGUGCCAGCAGCCGCGGUAAUACGGAGGGUGCGAGCGUUAAUCGGAAUUACUGGGCGUAAAGCGCGCGUAGGCGGUCUGAUAAGCCGGUUGUGAAAGCCCCGGGCUCAACCUGGGAACUGCAUCCGGAACUGUCAGGCUAGAGUGCAGGAGAGGAAGGUAGAAUUCCCGGUGUAGCGGUGAAAUGCGUAGAGAUCGGGAGGAAUACCAGUGGCGAAGGCGGCCUUCUGGACUGACACUGACGCUGAGGUGCGAAAGCGUGGGUAGCAAACAGGAUUAGAUACCCGUGUAGUC